rnacentral:lncRNA from 1 species
AAGCAUCAUGUUGAAGACAUCUGGAUGUGCCUUUUCAAUCUCAUCAAAGAGAACUACUGUGUAAGGGCGACGGCGAACUGCUUCAGUUAAUUGACCACCCUCGGUAUAGCCAACAUAUCCAGGUGGUGACCCAAUUAGUUUGGAGACAGUAUGUCUCUCCAUGAACUCACUCAUAUCAAGUCUGAUCAUGGCUUCCUCAGAGCCAAAGUAGUAUGAUGCCAAAGCUUUGGCCAGUUCUGACUUACCAACACCGGUUGGUCCAGAGAAUAUGAAACUUGCAAUAGGCCUGUUUGGAUUCUUCAGGCCAACACGGGCUCGGCGGAUUGCACGGCUAAUAGCUUUGACAGCCUCAUCCUGACCGAUAAUACGUUGAUGCAGUGUUUCCUCCAUCUUCAGGAGACGGUCAGAUUCAUCAGAGGAGACCUUCUCGACAGGUAUUCCAGUCCAAGAGGACACAAUGUGCUGAAUAUCUGCCUCUGUGACCAAAGGACCAACUUCACCAGACUCUGUCUCUGCCUUAACCAUUUCCUUGCUUUUGUCAAUGAUGGCCGUAAUCUGUGCCUUCAGUUCCAUCUCUUUGUCUCUUAGUUCCCCAGCCUGUCAAAACAAUAGAUGGCAGGAACAUAUCAAAAGGAAAAUACUGGUGAGGGAAGACUCUUCAAAGUUCAAAGGCUGACCAAUCGGGAAGAAGUUUCGCCAUGCACAUAAAACUAGUACUCCCUCCAUUCAAUAAAGAUUGGCACGGCUUUGAACUAGCUCUAGUUCAAAGCCAUCAAUCUUUAUGGAACAGAGGGAGUACUGACUCCAUCCAAAAUAAAUUAUGUUAGUACUUUGCAAUGUAUCCAAUAUGCAACUCAACUUUUGUAUGAAAAUGUAAAUAAAAAUUACUGCCUCUAUUAAAAAAACCUUCAAAAACAUGACUUGUAGAAAGCAUGCAGUCAAACUUCUCCACCUUUGACAACAAAGUAACAAACAAACUAUUUUGAUUUAUUAAGUAAAAACGAUAUCAUUACAUUUGUCAUAAAAAUAGUUCCAAAAUAUGUAAUUUUUCUAACUUUUUACAAACAUACAUAUGUGAAAGCAAACAUAAAAGUUGUGUCUCGGAGACUGCCAUGUUUAAAUGCCAGAUAUAUUUCUGAAAAGCAGUAAAAGAAAAUGUAUUGUGAAACUGUUUUUCAGAACAAAUUUAAUGAUACCAGUUGCACCUAACAAACCUAAAUACCCCCUCUUCCCAUUUUAUAAGUCAGAUAAAAUUUGUUGGCAAUAUCAAGGAGUUCAGGUGCGGCUCCAAUUUAAUGGAGCGACACUUUUACUCUGAGCCACAGUGACUCGCUACGACACUAGAUUGUAUCGGCAACCAAUAUCCGCAUCAAUGCUAUGCAUGUACAGAAUGCUUGGUCUUGCUGCCCUUCUACUACUACUCAUUAGGCAUCCAACAGUCACAGCAUGCUGUAUCGAUGACACACGGAAACCAAAAUGUAAGCAUGCAUGCGCUAGUUAAUUGCACCUAUUUUAUGGGAAGAGGAAGUAAUUUUUUAUACUAGUUAAAAAUACACUAUUGAUCAUGACCAAGGCUGUCAACAUCCGGAUACCAGGUACUAUCUUAUUUUGGGGCAGCAGUCUCUCAAUCGUGGGAUCAUAUCAUAGCAUCACGAUAGUAAGACGUGGUUUUCAGUUCAAGUAUAGUUAAUUUAUAUAUAACAGAAAAUAGCUCAGAAUGAUUUUUUCAAUACAAUUAUCUAGAAUAGCAAGAAAUAUAGAGUAUAGUAUCAUCACUGGCCAAAAAAAUAAUGAUUAAGACAUACACAUAAGUGCAUGAUCUAGCAUGCAAUAGAGCCAAUGUAAGCGUGUGAGACAAAUAAAUCAAUAUACAAAUAAUACCCAGAUUAGUUAGCAGAUCCUCAAAGAAAUAAUUAGACCUGCAGAGCCCUAUGGCCAUUGAUCUUGCAGCUCACAGCCUACAAAUAGGCAGCCCACAUGCAACGUCAUAACUAGCAAGCACAUACCUCAUUCAGUCCCACCUCACGGAAUUAGAGAGGUUGCAAGAGACUUAAAUACCAGGGCUGCCGGACCAGCAGCAAGUAUCAGCCUCAACCGGGCCUUUGCUAACGUGUUGCUGUUGUGCUGGGUGUGGGAUUGAUGUGAGUCGAUCCAUGUCGCAAUUCUACCGAUUUCACGCUACAGAGUGAUCCCGGGGCCAUUACCAGAUUAAGAUCUGGAGUACAAUAUGUAUCAUUUCAAAUACAGUUGGAUCGUAAAAUCAUACGCUACUAUGAUAUGUAUCGCGAUAUUGAAAACCUUGGUCAUGACAUCAAACAGUGACAAGAUUAAAUAUGUCAAAUAGACACUAUUGAUCAUGAUCAAUAUCUUGCCUGCACACAAUCAAAAUUGGCAUCUAUCUGGAACAGAGGUAGUGCCACACAUUAUCAAUAUAGCAGGCAUUUUUGGAAGAAAGAAAAUUAACCCAGAGCAAAUUUUGUGCAAAUACCUUCUCAAAAUCUUGGCCGCGUACUGCCUCGUUCUUAUCCUUGGUAACCUUGCGAAGUUCUUUGUCCAAUUCUUUUGCCUCAUCAGGGAGCUGCAACACAAUUUCAUCCUAGAUUGGUAAGCUUCACUGUUUGUCAACUCAGGAAUAGUAAGCUGUGUGCUUAUACCUGGGCAUGCCUAAGCCUGACACGUGAUCCAGCUUCAUCAAUCAAGUCGAUAGCUUUGUCAGGUAGGAAACGAUCACUGUAUUUCAACAAUAUAAAAUUUUACUAACUGAACAAAAAAAAAUGGAAUAUUUGUAAGUACAGCAAAGCUCUUGUUCAUUAUUUAUCUUUGUUCUAGACUCGGAGUGAGACCCAAAGACCAAUUUGCGCAUCUAGGUUUGUGACAACGAAACUACAGUUGUAAAAAUUAAUAUCACUAGGCUGGACCAAAAUUAAUAUCAGCCUCCAUACCCCCUGCACGUGAACAUUUUCUUUCAUUUCAUUCUAAUGGGGAGCUAAAUAACUAGGCGAUAUUAGUGGCACUGAGAUGAAGGCUCGAAAAAAUGCAAGUCUGCAGUGUAAAGUCUGAACUGUUUGUUGUUGAUUAUUGAUAUCACUAUUGUUUUACAAUUCUAGCAGCUGAUCACAUCAGACACUUCAACGGCAUAAAAAAAAAUUCAAUUCUACUAGCUGAUCACAGACUUCAAUGGCAGAAAAAUAAUAAAUUCAAUGAGUAGGUGGAUAUCUGAUUAGGAGGUUACUGAAGUAACAUCUUUUGUUGCAAUUAUCAUAAACAAUGUCGCUAUACUGAACUUUCUAGUUUUCUUCUCUUCUACAAUCUUCAGUAGCUUUAUGCUAUGGACAAACUAAUAAAACAUGUUGGCUUUACAUAUUGCAAAAGGCACCACAUGGGGAACCACUAUAACAUUGGAUUACUUGCCCACAUUGAUGUAAAUUAAAUUUACAAAAACAGGCCGAGAAUCAUUGUUGUUAAACAGUACAUGUGCAACUUCAAAUCAAGUUAGUAUUGCAAGACAGGACAAACUUUAACCGCAAAACACUUUAAGCAUUCAUCAGAAGUAACCAGAUCUAACUAAUGCUAACAAACCUGAUAUACUGAUACGACAACUUCGCAGCAGCAGUAAGAGCAUCAUCUGUGUAUCGCAGCUUAUGGUGAAGCUCAUAUCUCUCACGGAGGCCUCUCAAAAUUUGUAUGGUUUCAUCAACAGUUGGUUCAGGAACCUUGACUGGUUGAAAUCUUCUCUCCAGUGCUGGAUCUUUCUCAAUAUGCUUUCUGUACUCAUCCAGCGUUGUGGCCCCAAUACACUGAAGAAAUAAAUACAUAAAUCACAUAGAGAAGGUAAAUAUAGAUAUGCGAUUGAUGUGAUCUAUCAUUGUUCCCAGUCAACUUGAAUACAAUUUGCAUAAAACUUCAAGUCUCCCAUGGAACAAUUGUUUUUUCAAAUCUAAUAUACAGAACCAAAAGAAGGGAGCAAGGUAAACAUAAAAGGUUGACAACAUUUUUCUACCACUUACCUGCAGUUCACCUCUAGCAAGAGCAGGUUUCAAGAUGUUGGCUGCAUCAAUUGCACCCUCAGCCGCACCUGCUCCAAUCAAAGUGUGCACUUCAUCAAUGAAGAGAAUAAUAUCAUCACUUUGCUUAAUUUCCUCCAUAAGCUUCUUCAGCCUUUCUUCAAAUUCUCCGCGAUAUUUGGUACCAGCAACAAGCAGCCCCAUAUCGAGUGUAAUAACCUAAGUAGCAAAAAUAACAACAAAUCAAUUUCUUGGAACAACACUGAAAUAUCAUAGGAAAUAGGGAAUGCAUGUUCUCAUGUUUCAUCCAGUAGCAAAGUUUAUCGUGUGGAUACCUAUCAGACAUGGAGCACAAUGAUUUUGCGCAGAUAAUUUAAAUCCGACAAAGGACAAGCUUAUGCAGACACCAAUAAAAACAAAAACAGUACACAACUCAAUAAUUUUGAACUAACCUUUUUUCCUUCAAUUGUUUCUGGAACAUCCCCAUUGGUAAUACGCUGUGCAAGCCCCUCGGCGAUAGCAGUCUUGCCAACACCAGGCUCUCCGAUCAGGCAGGGGUUAUUCUUUGUUCGCCUUCCUAAUAUUUGGGUGACACGCUCAAUUUGGUCCUGCCUGCCAACAACUGGAUCUAGUUUACCCUGCAAAAUAGAUUAACACAUUCACAUCUAAUAUAAUGCAGCAAACCAAGUGCAGCAAUGACGAAUGAAAUUUACCUCUUCAGCUAACUUAGUCAAAUUAGUACCGUAUUCCUCAAGUGUAGGCAUUUUUUGACCACUGCUUCCACCACCAACACCAGCACCAACAGCUUCUGUGCUUUCACCAACCAUCCUUAUGACCUGCAUAGCAAGUCAUAUAUCAUGUCCAACAUAGUGCAAUUUGAAACAUUUCAACUGAAAGACCAAGGUCAGAGGAUUGCCUGUGUGCGAAUGUUGUUUGGAUCAGCACCGAGACUUUCUAGCACUCGGGCAGCCACACCUUCACCUUCACGAAGCAGGCCCAAGAGUAAGUGUUCAGAUCCUAUGUAAUUAUGCCCUGAACAAUGAAGAACCAUGGUUAGAAGCUAUCACUCGACCUUCUCAUGGAUAACUAGGACAUAAAACAGCAAAUGGACGUCUAUUGUUGGCUGUUAGAAGUUUCACAUCUUGUGGUCAUAUACAAUCUAAUGCAGCAACGUGGAUAUGACAUAUAGGAAAGUUGAUCACAUAGCAAAUUCAAAGUAAAGUAGAAUAGUAGGUUACGUAGCAUACUUAAACCGCUACAGUAAAACUUACUUGGAGACAAGCGCACAUCUCAUCUUAUCAUAACAAUAUGAGUUUAUAUAAAUCUGAAGCACCAAAAAUCAUUUCUCUUAUACAGAUUCAAGUGCAUAUCCUUUUUACUCUAGUAUCUGAUUCUAGCUAGUCAUUCGCUGAUCACAUCGCCAAAGUAUAUCAUUAAAAAAGAAGAGAGAAAUUUCAUGUCGAAAGAGAAAAUCAUGUUCUGGUAAGAAGCAAUAGAAAAUAUACGGGACGGUGAUAGGAAUACAAGAGAUGGACAUGGUUACGAAUGAACAGUGGAAAAAUAUAGAUAACUUGCACUGUCCACAUAAAGCAUAACAAAUAACAUGAGCUUAAGUUGAUGGGUAAUAAAAAGGUCAGUACCAAGCUGACGAGCUUCUUCAAGCGACAGUUCCAAUACACGUUUUGCACGGGGUGUGAAUGGGAUCUCAACAGCCACAAACCCACUGCCUCGUCCAAUGAUCUUCUCAACUUCUACACGAGCAUCCUUAAGAUUAAUGCCCAUUGACUUAAGAACCUUAGCUGCAAUGCCGGUACCCUCACCGAUAAGGCCAAGCAGGAUUUGCUCUGUCCCGACAAAAUUGUGGCCUAGCCGUCUUGCCUCCUCUUGGGCGAGCAUAAUCACCUUGAUUGCCUUCUCUGUAAAGCGCUCAAACAUGGCACGCACAACCAUUCGAGACCCCUUUCCCCUCGGCCGUGCAAGCUGAUGUGCUACAAUAGAGCCAAAGUCACGUCUAACCACAGAUCUUGUGUCCAAAAAAUUUGCCCUCCGCAGUCCUUGAAAACCCCCUAGGGUCAUGGUCUGCGUCCGCAUACUGCAUACCGAUGCUGCCCUCACUGAUGUUGCCCUUGCACGCGCACGGACCUGAGCACCGCUGUUAUAUAUUGUAGGGACAAUUGCUGACUGAACCAGAGCCCCCUCCAUGUCGGUAUGUCUAAAGGAAGCCCCAAGCAACCCUUUUACCAAGACCUGAAAAUGUAUUGCUGAUUAUGGUAAGCAUCACAAUAUGCCGAAAUGGUCAUGAAUGGAGCUAAGAUAGACACUUUAUGGGAUAAGAGCAAGUAAACAACGCCCUGUACGGCGAGAAAGUUCCAUAGUCAUCCAAAUCCACACUCAACUAAGCCCAUAUGGGAGCGGCAGAAGAAUUGCAUAUAAAGAAGUCAACCAUGACAGUUUCUCCCAUGGAUAUACAGAUAAGGAGGUGCUGCCAAUCCACUGAUAGUGGCACUCGCAACCCUAAUAGCCGAUAUACUCCAUAAGAGUAACUCCAGGAGCUGCCCUAUCCGAUGCCGAUAGUCGUAUUCAAGGGUUUUGAGCAAAAACAAAAACAAAACAAAAACUGGUCCGGCAGCUUCACCAUCCGACUCCCCAAAUCCCUUCCAGGAUCCCCCAAACUCGGGUUUGGGGCUCCCCAUCCCCCAACGACUCCGACGGAAAGCUCCCCCCCCGCGAAGUAUGCUCUCCCUUCCCAUUCCCCUUUCUCUGGCGCUCCCGCUGCGGCCGGACUAGACGCAGCUACACUGACUGGGCUGGGCAGGAAGGGGAGAACAGGAGGACGUAGAAAGUCAGAGGUUAGGCACGGCGGCGUACCAGAUAUGGACGGGGCGUCGAUGGGACCCGGAAGGCGAAGUGGAUCCGGCGCACGGCGUCGAGGGGAGCCCGUUGGCGGCGGCGGCGGGUGACGACGGUUGAUGCUACGCUACGCCACCCUAGGAGAGGGGAGGGGACUCGGCGAGGAGGAUUCAGGAAGAAGGGAUAUGGAGCUCAUACAGGAGGAGGGCAAGGGGAAGCAAGAGAUAAGAAGAGCCGGCUACGUCACGUCAGCCACGGCACGCAAUUUUUACAUUCAUUGUAAAUAAAAACGAAAGAAAACUGUUACAACUAAAAAAACACAGAGAAAACAAUCAUUAAAAUACAUUUAAGUCUAACUGGCAUCCUGCAAGCAAAUAGUUCUUUUUAAUAGCGAAAAUUAUGACGAUGCGCGUUCGCACGUUGGUUUCUCCACUCUCGAGCGCAUCUAGUGCUGCGUUGGCUCCUGCCGUGCUAGCGCUAGGUGCUGUUGUUAAGCUAGGUGAAUAGGUGCAUGCAUGCAUACAUUUUUUCCUACUGUCACGCUGGCUCCUGCUGCAUCUGCGCGGAUGGUGUGAUAUGUGCUGAUGCUUAGAUAAGUGGCUAGCCACAUGCAUGCAUUGUUUUUUUUUCUUUCUAUUUCUACAGAAAUUAUAAUGACAAGCAUGUUUGCUCUCUCGUGGUCUUGUUCGUCGUUGUUGUCGUGUCCGUCCAUGGUGCCCUCACCGCCGCGCGCUAUGCCCGCUUCCUCGCGCCGCCGCACUGAGCCGUGCCCGCCGCCUCGUGUGGCCUGCCCGCACCCGUGCGCCAUCCCCGCCACCACGUGCCGCCCCAGCCGGCACCGGCCUGCGCCGCACCCGCCUCUGCACACCUCUCCCAUCGCCGCCACGAGCCGUACCUGUCGUUGCCGCACGCGGUAGAUGUCGUGCCGUGGCUGCUUGCUCAUUUUGCCCGCCAGUAGCGGGGGCAAAAACGCUCCUCGCCCACAAGGACAUAAUCGAUUUGUCAGCGUCGUAGCUAGCUGCUUUAUUUUGUUUCGGGACGAAUCAGGCUGCUUGUCCGCAAAUCGUAAUCGAGAGGUGGAUUCAGCGGUGAUGUCUCUGCCGCAAGGCUUGCAUGAGGGAGGAGCCCCGGCAAGAUUCAGUGUUACGAUGACGGAAUCGAGCGGUGGGUGCUAGAUUUUGAUCGAAACGGACAUAUAUACAAUGGCUAAAUGUGUCCAUUAGGGUGUGGCAGUUUGUGUUCAACAAAGAUGGCAAUUUAUCUGUAUCAUGCAUGGCAAAUCAUGUUCAUCAGAGGUGGCAAUUUGUCUGCAUUAGAGGUGGCAAUUUGUGUUCACCGGAGGUGCCAACGAGUGUGCAUUAAGGAUGGCAAUGAGUGUGCGUUAGGGUGGCAAUUUAAGUACAUAUGAGGCUGGCAAUUUGUGUGUAUUAGGGGUGCUAAUUUAUGUGCAUUGGGGAAAACAAAAAUAUAGAUUUGUGUGUGUCGUUUCAAAUGAAUGUGGUAGCUUAAUUUGGAGUGAAGGAAAUGUGGGAUGCAAUGAUGGGUGCUAGACUUUAACCGAAAUGGAUGGACGUACAUGGUUAUGUGUGUUCAUUAGAGGGUGGCAAUCUGUGUUCAUUAGGGUGUGACAAUUUGUGUGUACUAUGGGUCACAAUUGUGUUCACUAGGGGUGGCAAUUUGUAUUCACUAGGGGUGGCAAUUUCUGUGCAUUAAGGUGUCAAUUUGUGUGCAUUAAGGGUGGCAAUUUGUGUUCAUUAGAGGAUUACAAUUUAUGUGCAUCAGGGGUGGUUAUUUUUGUUCAUUAGGGUGGCAAUUUUUGUUCAUUAGAGGGUGACAAUUUGUUUGCAUUAGGGGUGGCAAUUUGCCUGCAGUAAGAGAGACAUGUAGAUAAGGUUUAAGUGAGAUCAUUUUAAAUGGAGAUGGUAUCUUAAUUUAGAGUUGAGGAGACGCAGGAUGCGGUGGUGCGUGGUCGAUUUUUUACCGAAAUAUAUGUGCACUGUUAUUGUGUUCAUUUGAGAGUGCAAAUUAUAUUAAUUAGGGAUGAUGAUUUGUGUGUAUCACGGGCAGCAAGGGAGAUAGGGUUUGUAUGAGAUAUGAUGAGCUGACGCGGAUUGACCGGCACCGUCACGUGUUGUACCUAUAGCGCAACCGUCGCGCGAUAUUGUAACUUUAUAUGUUGGAGAGUGUCAACUUUAUAUACCGUAGGUUGGCAACUUUUAAUAUGAUUUUUUUUUUGUCGAAACAUAUCAAUAUGAGAUCUUGUUUUGAAGAUCUCAUCGAAACAUAAUUAACCACGAAGACGGAUCUUAAAUCGAAUGUUCGGUUUGAGAGAUAUAACAUUUUAAAGUUGCAUUUGACAAAAUAAUACAUGCGUGUUCACACCCACGGGCAGCUGAGAUACUGCUGCAAGCGGCAUGCAUGCAUGCAUGCGCGCAUGGGCAUCUCCGCUGGCAUGUUUGCCUCUGCUUCUAGCGGCUUCAUGCAUGGUGCGUAUGCGCGGAUGAGUUAAUGCGAGCACGUUCGCGCGUUAUUCUAGCCCUUUUAAUAAACCGUUUAGAUUUUACGUCCUCUCCUUGCUUUGAGCCUCGCCCAUCCCACGCUUUGUUAUUGAGUGGCUGCGGUGUGUCCAUGUAAUAACACUCUUCCUAUGGUGUGGUUUUUUUUUACCACUCCGUUUGGCGACUUGUUCCCUAGUGCUUUCUUUUUUUCUUUGCUCACGCGGUUGUUAGGUGACCGGCUGUUGUUGGUGGUGAUCGACGGUUGUUGUUUCCCCUUUGGCUUCUUUGUCUGAUUGUUUUCCUUGUUUGUUGCUUGUUGCUGCCAAUUGUUAAUUGUGUUUUCGGGUUGUUGUGAUUGCUGCCUCUUUGGUGGGUUUUUUCUCUUACCGUUUUCUAGGUGUUUCUUGUUGGUCUCAGUGUUGUCCUUGUGUGGUCGAAGUCGAUUCCUGUGUGGAUGUGUCUUCGAGCUAUUGUGUCCACCACUUAGCUGCCGCCCUACUUGCUUCGAGGUGAUUGUUUUUCUCCUUUUGUGUGGCCUCUUCUUCUCCCUCUUUCUGUUCUCCGUGCGUGUUGCCGCUUCUUGCUGCACAAUAUUGUUUGUUUCUUGGUUUCACUUUACCUUCUUUGGUGCCUUCCCGUUGCGUGCCUCGGGUGAAGGUGGUUCUUCUCUUUAAUUAGCUAUUCCUCCAGUGGCGCAUUCGUCUGCUGUCGGCAUGGUUGUGGUCGUGGCUGUCUGGGCGUGUCUUCGGAGGCUUGUUCUGCUCGUGUUUUUUUUUUUUUGCAUUUCCUUCCUACAUGUGGUUGCCUAAGCACACUUGAUGCUUCCGUUUAUAUGAUGGUGGUUUUCUCUCGGCAAGGUCAACGUCAGCGGUUCCAUUGGCUGUUUCGGUUUCUGCCUUUUGCUUAUGGGCAGGCCUUUGUCGGUGAGUUCUUCUGAUUGGUUGGGUUUCAUUUGUUCUGUUUAGAGUCGUUGUUGAUCGGUUGUUCUCACUUUUGAAGUGUUUGUGCUUGGUCUAGCGGGGGGCAUGCAUCUUUGGGGAUUCUGUCUUUGUCAUCACUAGGUGUGUCGGAUUUGCUGGCUACACCGGACUCUUUUCGAAGCAUGUGUUUUCAAGAGCCUCCUAUCGCCGUCUCGUUGGACUCUUCUCUGGGCAUGCGUCCUGAGGAGCUGCCUGUCAGCUUCUCAGUGCCCAUGGAUUUUUUUACGGUGGGGUGGAGGUCGGCGGCUCUGUUGGCUUUUUGGCAUUUGUUUCUCGUUCUACCGGAGGUUGUGCUUCAUAGGUUGUUUUGGUUUGUGCUCGUGAUGUUUAGGGAUUGUUUACUGUUUUUUUUUCUAGGCAAGUCCAUCAAGAGUUUACAAAGCCAUUGCUUUAUAAGUGGUUGUAUCUCAUGUUGUGAGUUCUGCUUCUGUUGUUGACCUCGUUAAGAUGAUCUACUGGCAAGACUUUCAUGAAACAAUGUCACCACUAUGAAUAAACGCAUACCCGCUCGUGGCAAUUUGUUCAUAGAAAAUCCAAUUGAAUCACAAUAAAACAUCUGAUUAUCUUUCGAUACAUGGUACAGUGAAUGACAUGGCUCACAGUUUCUUUUAGAUAGCCAAUAAUUCUUCCAAAUGCACACCAGCGAUCAUCUCCCGGAAUCGAGACAAACGGCUCAACUUGCUUAACAAGUGAGAUGUAAGGCCUCGUUGUGCAAGCCGAUCAUCUCCCGGAAUUGUGACAAGUCUCAACCCGAUUAACAACAAAUGAGAUUUAACGCCUAGUUUUGCUAGCCAAAUACAUAACCAAGCCAACUAUUUGAGAAUAUCUUAGUGAUCUCUAGAUAUCGAGCUUCUUUCGAAGCAACGGACUGAAAUCUUGAGACAGCAGUGCCACCGCGGCUUGGAUGAUGAAAUCAGCGUUCCUGCGUGGUGUCUCCUCGUUGCUGCGUUUAAGGCCUGACUAAUGGAUCUAAACAAUCAGAUUUCCCAUGAUAUGCUUCUAAUCUAAAAUUUUAGGUUCUCUAUUGGAAUACCAAUUAGCACAUGUGAAUUUUUCUUUAUAAUCUUUUAGUACUAAACAAUUGGACGGUAUAUGCCGCCGAUUUUGUAAGUGGUGAAGUUGCCAGCGGCAAUGUCUCCAUCGUUAUUGAAGAUUUUUCUACUAAUUUCCACAAGUGAGGGAGCAGGUGGGCGCCAAGCCGCCAAGCACGUUACAAACAUUACAGUGCCGUCAAAAGGCGUGCUGUCUCAAAACCCAAGCUUCCACGAUUCUUUCUAAAGCAAAUAAACUAAACAUCUAGGCGUGGUGUCUCUGUAGGCUAUGUGGAAGUUAUAUUCAUUGGUCUUCCUGAAAUUUCCACUGCUGGUGCUGAAAAAGAUCGAGGAUAACAACACCACCGAACGAAAUAGAGUAACUGGUAGUCCAGAAUCAUGAUUAGGUGCUCAAAACAGGCGCCAUUGGUUCUGGAACACCGCUGCCGCUGUUGAGAACUAUAACUUUGCCUUCUGAAUCAACAUCGACGAUAGCAGAAUCACCUUCCUUGACCUCACCUGCUAGCAUCUUCUCUGCCAAACUGUCUUCCAAAAGCCUCAUGAUAGCACGACGCAGUGGCCUGGCACCAUAGCUAGGGUUGUAGCCCUCGUCCACCACCCUAUCUCUGAACCUCUCCGUCACUUGGAGGUCGAUUUCUUUUACCUUCAGCCUAUCAAACACUUCUUUCAGCAUAAUGUCUGCAAUUUCCUUCACCUCCAGCUUUGUCAGCUGGCGGAAAACAAUCAUCUCAUCCAAUCUAUUCAGGAACUCAGGCCGGAAGUACUGCUUCAGCUCCUCAGUCACCAGGCUCUUGAUCCUGUUGUAGCUGGUGUCCUUCUCGUCGUAGUCAAGAUCGAACCCAAUCUUGCGGCCUCCCUUCUCAAUGACACUACUUCCAACAUUUGAUGUCAUGAUCAAUAACGUAUUCUUGAAAUCAACUGUACGCCCCUUGCUAUCAGUCAAUCUCCCAUCUUCCAGUAUUUGAAGCAUCAUGUUGAAGACAUCUGGGUGUGCCUUCUCAAUUUCAUCAAAAAGAACUACCGUGUAAGGGCGACGACGAACUGCUUCAGUUAAUUGACCACCCUCGGUAUAGCCAACAUAUCCAGGUGGUGACCCAAUUAGUUUGGAGACAGUAUGUCUCUCCAUGAACUCACUCAUAUCAAGUCUGAUCAUGGCUUCCUCAGAGCCAAAGUAGUAUGAUGCCAAAGCUUUAGCCAGUUCUGAUUUACCAACACCGGUUGGUCCAGAGAAUAUGAAACUUGCAAUAGGCCUAUUUGGAUUCUUCAGGCCAACACGGGCUCGGCGGAUUGCACGGCUAAUAGCUUUGACAGCCUCAUCCUGGCCGAUAAUACGUUGAUGCAGUGUUUCCUCCAUCUUCAGGAGACGGUCAGAUUCAUCAGAGGAGACCUUCUCGACAG